AUCGCUUCUCGGCCUAUCGGCUAAGAUCAAAUGUGUAGUAUCUGUUCUUAUCAGCUUAACAUCUGAUACACUUCCACGUGAAGUGCCACAUGNGAGCUUGCUCCUACUCCGCCACGGGUUGAUCCGGUAUUGCAGUACCACCGGAAACAGCCCAAUAUCC